rnacentral:rRNA from 1 species
UGGGGAAUAUUGCACAAUGGGGAAGCCCUGAUGCAGCAACGCCGCGUGAGUGAAGAAGUAAUUCGUUAUGUAAAGCUCUAUCAGCAGGGAAGAAGAAAUGACGGUACCUGAGUAAGAAGCCCCGGCUAACUACGUGCCAGCAGCCGCGGUAAUACGUAGGGGGCAAGCGUUAUCCGGAUUUACUGGGUGUAAAGGGAGCGUAGGCGGGAAGCCAAGUCAGCUGUGAAAAGCUACGGGCUUAACCUGUAGACUGCAGUUGAAACUGGCUUUCUUGAGUGAAGUAGAGGUUGGCGGAAUUCCGAGUGUAGCGGUGAAAUGCGUAGAUAUUCGGAGGAACACCGGUGGCGAAGGCGGCCAACUGGGCUUUAACUGACGCUGAGGCUCGAAAGUGUGGGGAGCAAACAGGAUUAGAUACCC